rnacentral:rRNA from 1 species
GUGGGGAAUCUUGCACAAUGGGGGAAACCCUGAUGCAGCGACGCCGCGUGAGCGAUGAAGCCCUUCGGGGUGUAAAGCUCUUUCGGCAGGGAAGAUUAUGACGGUACCUGCAGAAGCAGCUGCGGCUAACUACGUGCCAGCAGCCGCGGUAAUACGUAGGCAGCAAGCGUUGUUCGGAGUUACUGGGCGUAAAGGGUGCGUAGGCGGUCCUAUAAGUAUGGUGUGAAAUCUCCCGGCUUAACUGGGAGGGUGCGCUAUAGACUGUGGGACUAGAGUGUGGGAGAGGAAAGUGGAAUUCCUGGUGUAGCGGUGAAAUGCGUAGAUAUCAGGAGGAACACCGGUGGUGUAAACGGCUUUCUGGACCAUAACUGACGCUGAGGCACGAAAGCGUGGGUAGCAAACAGGAUUAGAUACCCUUGUAGUCC